AACCUGCCCAAGAGAUCGGGAUAACACCUGGAAACAGAUGCUAAUACCGGAUAACAACAGAUGAUGCCUAUCAACUGUUUAAAAGAUGGUUCUGCUAUCACUCUUGGAUGGACCUGCGGUGCAUUAGCUAGUUGGUAGGGUAACGGCCUGCCAAGGCGAUGAUGCAUAGCCGAGUUGAGAGACUGAUCGGCCACAUUGGGACUGAGACACGGCCCAAACUCCUACGGGAGGCAGCAGGG
rnacentral:rRNA from 1 species